CCGGGUUGCGGACAGUGUCUGGUGGGUAGUUUGACUGGGGCGGUCUCCUCCUAAAGAGUAACGGAGGAGCACGAAGGUUGGCUAAUCCUGGUCGGACAUCAGGAGGUUAGUGCAAUGGCAUAAGCCAGCUUGACUGCGAGCGUGACGGCGCGAGCAGGUGCGAAAGCAGGUCAUAGUGAUCCGGUGGUUCUGAAUGGAAGGGCCAUCGCUCAACGGAUAAAAGGUACUCCGGGGAUAACAGGCUGAUACCGCCCAAGAGUUCAUAUCGACGGCGGUGUUUGGCACCUCGAUGUCGGCUCAUCACAUCCUGGGGCUGAAGUAGGUCCCAAGGGUAUGGCUGUUCGCCAUUUAAAGUGGUACGCGAGCUGGGUUUAGAACGUCGUGAGACAGUUCGGUCCCUAUCUGCCGUGGGCGCUGGAGAACUGAGGGGGGCUUCUCCUAGUACGAGAGGACCGGAGUGGACGCAUCACUGGUGUUCGGGUUGUCAUGCCAAUGGCACUGCCCGGUAGCUAAAUGCGGAAGAGAUAAGUGCUGAAAGCAUCUAAGCACGAAACUUGCCCCGAGAUGAGUUCUCCCUGACCCUUUAAGGGUCCUGAAGGAACGUUGAAGACGACGACGUUGAUAGGCCGGGUGUGUAAGCGCAGCGAUGCGUUGAGCUAACCGGUACUAAUGAACCGUGAGGCUUAACCUUACAACGCCGAAGGUGUUU
rnacentral:rRNA from 1 species